AUGCUGUCCCGCGCCCGGCGCCUCCACCCCGCUCUCCGCUGCCUCCUCCGUGCAAGCGCUGCGCACUCGUCCCCUCACCCUCCUCCGACGCAACACAUCCUAGCUGCCUCCCAAAUCCCUAAACCCUUCCCCCUCCUGCGCCGCCACCUCUCGUCCCCACCGCCGCCGGUGUCUUCCCCUCCGGCUGUGGUGUCUUCUGACCUCCCAGCAGUCAGUACCAAUGGCAAGUGCCCGGGCUGCGGCAUCGCCAUGCAGUCUGCCGACCCGGCCCUCCCUGGCUUCUUCAACCUCCCAUCCCCCAAGUCUCCCGACUACCGCGCGCGCCUCGCGCCCGUCACCGCCGACGACACCGGCAUCUCGGCCUCUCUGAAAAGCGAGCUCCUCCAGGAGGGCCAAGAAAACUCACGGGAGGGCGGGGCGGUGGCGGUGGCGGUGGUGGCCGCGGAGGCGGAGGCCGAGAAGAAGAGCAAGGUGGUGCUGUGUGCUCGGUGCCACUCGCUGCGCCACUACGGCCACGUCAAGCGCCCCGACGCCGAGGUCCUGCUCCCGGACUUCGACUUCGUGGCCGCCGUCGGCCCGCGCCUCGCGUCGCCCUCGGGGGCCAGGUCGCUGGUGCUGCUCCUCGCAGACGCGUCGGACUUCGACGGCUCCUUCCCGCGCGCCGUGGCGCGCCUGGUCGCCGUCACCAGCGAGGCCCACCACGCGGACUGGAAGCGCGGCGCGCCGUCUAACCUCCCCCGCGCGGUGCUCGUGGUCACCAAGCUCGACCUGCUCCCGACGCCGUCGCUUUCGCCCGACGACGUGCACGCGUGGGCGCAGGCCCGCGCGCGCGCCGGUGCUGGCGCCGACCUGCAGCUUGCCGGCGUUCACCUUGUCAGCGCGGCGCGAGGGUGGGGGGUGCGCGACCUGCUCAACCACGUGCGCGAGGUCGCCGGGGCGCGCGGCAAGGUCUGGGCUGUUGGCGCGCGGAAUGUGGGCAAAUCGACGCUGCUCAACGCCAUUGCUCGGUGCUCUGGGGCAGAGAGCGGGCAAACCUUGACAGAGGCGCCUGUUCCGGGAACAACCCUCGGGGUGAUCCGGGUGGACGGCGUUCUUGGUGCUCAGGCGAAGCUGUUUGAUACUCCGGGCUUGCUUCAUGGACACCAGCUGACGUCCAGACUUACGCCCGAGGAGCUGAAACUUGUUCAAGUGAGGAAGGAGAUGCGACCCAGAACAUACAGAAUAAAGGCAGGGCAGUCAAUACAUAUAGGAGGACUGGUGCGCCUGGAUGUGGAAGACUUGACUGUAGGAUCAAUCUAUGUUACGGUUUGGGCAUCACCACUUGUGCCACUUCACAUGGGGAAGACCGAAAAUGCGGAGUCUAUGAUGAAAGAUCACUUUGGCUUGCAACUGCAGCCUCCUAUAGGCCAGAAACGAGUGAAAGAGCUUGGGAAAUGGGUGAGGAAACAAUUCAAAGUUUCUGGAAAUAGUUGGGAUGCAAAUACUAUGGAUAUAGCCAUUUCAGGUCUUGGCUGGUAUGGAAUCGGGCUGAAAGGAGAGGCAGUAUUAGGGUUAUGGACAUACGAUGGUGUUGAUGUUGUCCCCAGGAGCUCCCUUGUCCAUGAGAGGGCGUCGAUUUUUGAGGAAGCAGGAUUCUCAGUUUCAAAAGUCGUCUCGCGGGCAGAUAGCAUGACAAAUAAGCUGAAAGGCAAUAAAAAAACAAACAAGAAGGAGAUGAAAGGCAUUUUGCAAUCUUCUGAAGUACCAGAACCUUCAGAACCUGCUACGGUCAUAGAUGCUUGA
rnacentral:rRNA from 1 species